rnacentral:lncRNA from 1 species
AAAAUUAUCCUUUGUUAUCCACUUUGAGCCUAUUUAGCUUUUAUUCUUUAACCGGAUGAUAGGGGGUGAUGUAGUAUAUGGGGAUCUCUGUGUGGUGAAUGUUCAUAAUGGGUCAUGAAAAAGAAGGGAUGAUUUUGUGUUACUAUUUACUCUUAUAAGCUCUAGAAAAGUUGUGAAAAGAAAAGAAAAAAAAUUGUUGAGAAAAAAAAAGAAAAAAGAAAAUAGAAAAAGAAAGAGAAAAAAGGUGUGAAGUCGAGUGUUUAUUGAGAAAUUUGUUAGAAAAUCGACUUUGUGUGUUGGAAAUAAGUGGAGAGCAUAAAAGAGUGUUUAGUUUUGUAUUGUGAUGUUUAAAUCCCUUGGUUUGUGAUGUUUAUGGAGGCGUUAUUAGGUGGAAGAUGGAAUUUAUUCCAUGCUUGAUAAGUGAAGUCAUAAGGUUGGUGUUCUUGAUCUAU